rnacentral:rRNA from 1 species
UACGAAGGGGGCUAGCGUUGCUCGGAAUGACUGGGCGUAAAGGGUGCGUAGGCGGCGGGGUAAGUCUGAUGUGAAAUCCCGGGGCUCAACCCCGGAACUGCAUUGGAUACUGCCCUGCUUGAGUACUGGAGAGGAGACUGGAAUUUACGGUGUAGCAGUGAAAUGCGUAGAGAUCGUAAGGAAGACCAGUGGCGAAGGCGAGUCUCUGGACAGUUACUGACGCUGAGGCACGAAGGCCAGGGGAGCAAACGGG